CAAUACACUAGUGGCACACGGGUGCGUAACGCGUAACCAACCUACCCAGAACUGGGGGAUAGCCCGCCGAAAGGCGGAUUAAUACCGCAUAAGACCACAGUUAGGCAUCUAAUAGUGGUUAAAGAUUUAUUGGUUUUGGAUGGGGUUGCGUGCCAUUAGCUGGUUGGGGGGGUAACGGCCCACCAAGGCGACGAUGGCUAGGGGAGCUGAGAGGCUGGUCCCCCACACGGGCACUGAGAUACGGGCCCG
rnacentral:rRNA from 1 species